rfam:Triticum aestivum genome assembly, contig: Triticum_aestivum_CS42_TGACv1_scaffold_222281_3B
AAGGUACUCCCUCCGUCCGGAAAUACUUGUCAGUGAAAUGGAUGUAUCUAGAUGUAUUUUAGUUAUAGAUAAAUCCAUUUUCAUCCAUUUUGAUGACAAGUAUUUCCGGACGGAGGGAGUAGUAA